GUGCCGGGUAGUACCGUGGCUAGGGCACCGGGUUGUACUGCGGCAGUAGUGCCGGGUGGUACUGUGGAGGAGCAGGCUCGUGCCAGGGUGGCUCGGGAUCAGCCUGCUGUAGCGGAGGCUCAACCUGCGGUAGUGGAGGAGGGUCGGGUAACUCCCUUCUCUCCUCUCGCCCUUGCUGGGCAGCUAUGAACCCUUCCAUCAUCUCAAAUAACCUGUCUAUAUCCUCCCGAAGUGAAUUAUCUCGGGCCGCUCGGUUUAGUGGGGGUCAUCCUCUCCUCAUCUCUCUGCACCUGCAUUUCAUAAUGAAUGGUUGAGUAACGAUUUAUCGGUGAGUAUUUCUCUAAGCAUUAUUGUGU
rnacentral:lncRNA from 1 species